GUGUGCCUUUCCAAAUCACGUCCAAUCAAUUAAAUUUACCACAGGUGGACUCCAAGUUGUUGAAUCAUCAGAAAGGAUGAUCAAUGGAAACAGGAUGCACCGGAGCUCAAUUUCAAGUAACAUAGCAAAGGCUCUGAAUACUUAUGUAAAUACGUUUUUUUUUUUUUUUUUUACAAAAAUGUCUAAAAACCUGUUUUUGCUUUGUCAUUAUGGGGUAUUGUGUGUAGAUUGAUGAGGGGAAAAAGUAAUUUAAUCAAUUUUAGAAUAAGGCUGUAACGUAACAAAAUGUGGAACAAGUCAAGGGGGUCUGAAUACUUUCUGAAUGCACUGUAUAUAAUCAGACUUUAAUAUACAGCCUUUUACAUACUCAGCCUUAUAUACAGCAUUUUAUAUACAGCCUUUUACAUACUCAGCCUUAUAUACAGCAUUUUAUAUACAGCCUUUUACAUACUCAGCCUUAUUAGCCUUUUAUACAGCCUUAUAUACAUUUUAUAUACAGCAUUUUAUAUACAGCCUUUUACAUACUCAGCCUUAUAUACAGCAUUUUAUAUACAGCCUUUUACAUACUCAGCCUUAUAUACAGCCUUUUACAUACUCAGCCUUUUAUACUCAGCCUUUUACAUACUCAGCCUUAUACAUACUGUUCGGUCUCCACUAUCAUAACUUCCAUCAAACUAGCUGUAAAACAUUCAAUCUCUGCUUCUGAAGGAAAAGAGACAAGGAUAUUAAAAUAAUACACCACACAGCAAAAAAAGGUUUAUAGUCUGCAUUUAUUUCAUGGUAAUGUAAAAAAGGUUUGACACUUAAAAUAAUAUUAGGCAAUUUUUAUUUUUUCAAGCAUAAAUGAUGGCAAACAGUGACAAACAUAUCACCAUGGUGACUACUAAUAAUUUAAUACCACAGCUAGCAAACAUCUACUGCCGUCAUUUCGAAUGAAUAGCUUCUAUAUUUAAGCACAGCUCGCUCACAGAGGUUUGUGCACAAUCACCACUUCACAUUGGAUUACCUUGUUGAUUAUAACUCUAUAGUUCAAAUUUAUAUACUUUAUUAUUUUAUGCCACAUGAUUAUAAUAAAAAGUAUGAAACGCACAACUCUGACAAGUCGGGCUGAUUUCUAUGGAGUUACUUUUGUGGCAAAAAAAAUCAGAAAGACGGAGGGACGAGUCCAUCGUUCAGAAGACGCCACGCUCAAAAAACAUUGUAAAUAAAUAAGAGAAUAAUAAUUAGAAAUGUAAACACAAACCAGGCAGGAAGUGCCCAAAUGACUCACACAAGUAGUUUAAAAAAGGUGUGUAUAUAUAUAUAUAUAUAUAUAUAUGUCUUUACAAAAAUGCAAUUACUGUAGCUCUGCUAUGGCUAUACAUUCUACUCUACAACAACAGUGUACAUUCCAAACCAAAGCGUUUUGAUCGACAGCCAGGAUAUUGUAAUAUUGCACAUGGGAUGGGCUUUCUACUUGUGACAGACUAUCUCCCAGACUGUGAGAGACUUUAACCCUGAACUAUGUGCUAUUUAGAGCACGGACGGACAUGAAGAAAACGUUCAGUUCAGCAUUUUCAUUUUGCGAAGCCUCGCUCUCAUAGGCCAAAACCAGAUCUGACUCAUAUUUCAGAACUGCUGCAGGCUGGAUCACAAAAUUGAAUUCCCGGCAUUCUACUUUGUCCUAGUCCCACACACAAGUCCCCCUCUCUCUCAGUGAAUCAUGACAGCUGUAGGAAGACUUCCACAUAUAAACAAAACAUACGUAAACCCCUUUACAAGAAGUCUAUACACAGCUACAGCCCAUUGUAAAGCACCAAGGUACAUUUAGACAAGGUUUAUGGGGGGUGGAAGUCAUUCCUCUGGAACAAAUGGCUCCAUUCCAGUAGUAUAUCUUCAGUAACAGCCUGUGGCUUACCCUAAAUACAAUCGUUGAGCUGGAGUAGUAGAGCCCCAUAGGAGAAGAGUCUACACUGUGUGUUAUAGUACUGAGGAUGUGCGCGACGAGGAGGAUGAUGAGGGUGGAUGAUUGUGAGGUGGGCUGGAAUAACUCCGGCUACAGUGUGUGUGCGUGCGUGCGUGUGUGUGUGUGUCCGGUGGGCCCUGAGUAGGUGGUGGUAGAAUAUUGCUAAUGUGGUUUUGUGCUUGUUGUAUCCCAUGUCAGGCAGGAGGACCUAUCAUAGGGACAGUUUAGGGGACAUCGGGAGGGACAAGGUUAUAUUUCAGCAAUAAGGCACCUAUGGGGUUUGUGGUAUAUGGCCAAUAUACCACGGCUAAGGGCUGUUCUUAAGCACGACGCAACGUGGAGUGCCUGGACACAGCCCUUAGCCGUGGUAUAUUGGCCAUAUACCACAAACCCCUGAGGUGCCUUAUUGAUAUUAUAAACUGGUUACCAACAUAAUUAGAACAGUAAAAAAAUGCUUUUGUCACACCCACCCGUGGUAUACGGUCUGAUAUACCACGGCUUUCAGCCAAUCAGCAUUCAGGGCUCUAACAACCCAGAUUGUAAUGUACAAUCCGUCACACAAAUCAAACAAUAUCAUUCAAAUAAACAUAAUCAUUGUUCAUCAUCAACAAGCCAAUUAACCAGGGCUGUGAUAUUCCUUAUUAUCCCAACUAAAAGAUAUCCUCAUUAUUGCAAUAUACACUAUUUAUACAAAAGUAUGUGGACAACCCUUCAAAUUAGUGGAUUUGGCUAAUUCAGCCACACCAGCUGACAGAUGUAUAAAAUUGAGCACACCGCCAUGCAAUCUCCAUAGACAAACAUUGGCAGUAGAAUAGCCUUACUGAGGAGCUCAGUGACUUUUAACGUGGCACCAUCAUAGGAUGCCACAUUGUCAAAUUUCUGCCCUGAUAGAGCUGCCACGGUCAACUGUAAGUGCUGUUAUUGUGAAGUGGAAACAUCUAACAACAGCUCAGCUGCGAAGUGGUAGGCCACACAAGCUCACAGAAUGCCGAGGCUAUGCUGAAGCACAUAGCGGGUAAAAUCACCUGUCCUCGGUUGCAACACUUACUACCGAGUUCCAAACUGCCUCUGGAAUCAACGUCAGCACAAUAACUGUUCAUCAGCAGCUUCAUAAAUUGGUUUCCAUUGCCGAGCAGUGGAAGCGUGUUCCCUGGAGUGAUGAAUCAUGCUUCACCAUCUGGCAGUCCAACGGUCGAAUCUGGGUUUGGCGGAUGCCAGGAGAACACUACCUGUCCCAAUGCAUAGUGCCAACUGUAAAGUUUGGUGGAGGAGGUCUAAUGGUCUGGGGCUGUUUUUCAUGGUUCGGGCUAGGUCGGGCUUAGUUCCAGCGAAGGGAAAUCGUAACGCUAGAGCCUACAAUGAUAUUCUAGAUGUUCUGUGCUUCCAACUUUGUGGCAACAGUUUGGGGAAGGCCCUUUCCCGUUUCAGCAUGACAAUGUCCCUGUGCACAAAGCGAGGUCCAUACAGAAAUGGUUUGUCAAGAUCGGUGUGGAAGAACUUGACUAGCCUGCACAGAGUCCUGACCUUAACCCCAUCGAACACCUUUGGGAUGAAUUGGAACACCAAUUGUGAGCCAGGACUAAUCGCACAACAUCAGUGCCCGACCUCACUAAUGCGCUUUUGGCUUAAUGGAAGCAAGUCCCCAACAUCUAGUGGAAAGCCUUCCCAGAAGAGUGGAGGCUGUUAUAGCAGCAAAGGGGGGACCAACUCCAUAUUAAUGCCCAUGAUUUUGGAACGAGAUACUCGACAAGCAGGUGUCCACAUACUUUUGGUUAUGUAGUGUAUUUCAAGCCAUUUAUAUAUUCUGCCUGGUCUUCUCAUCACGUGGAUCUCAUAAUAUAGGCUAGAAUAUAGAGCUUUGUGUGCAGUAGUACAAUCUACCCAUUGAAAAUGCAGUAACUGAGGCUCGGCUCUCUCCACUACACUACAGGUUACAAUGCACUACAAAAACUAUUUGAAAUAUUUUUUAUCCUGUCUGGAGUGCCAGAUGGGCUGGGUUGGCUGGGUGGGCUGGGUUGGCUGGGUGGGCUGGGUUUGCACUUUUGCGACUAUUCCACUGGUUCCAUUGCACCAGGCAAGCACAAGCCCAGUUGAAGUAUGUUAAAUGAUGUAAAAUAGUUUUGAACCCAGUGUAGGCUACUGAGAAGCAUUGCUUUGUAUUGUGGGCCCCCUUAGGGAGCAGAGACAUGGGUCAAAAGACCCCGACGGUCAGAGGGAGAAAUGUAAAGCCAACCAACACUCAGUUGACAUCCAGUAGUCUAUUAUUCACAAAGGCCAUCUGGUCAGAGCAUGUCUCAACAACACACAGCCCUCAGAGAGAGAGAACAGAAUGUUGUGUUAAUGGGGUCGCCCCCCCCCAUGACUUUCUGACCGUAAAGCCUGAUUUUUUAAAUUCUAAGACAAACAUAACUUCUAGAGGUCCGAAACAAUAAAGAUUGAGGUAAAACCACAUAACACUAAAUAGGACUCAGCUCUGCUGUGAGCAAUCGAACCCGAGAGGAGCCUGUCCGAGUUAGCCCAGCCAGGAUAUCCAGCCUGGAUGCACAACCAUCACAAGUGCUGUGCCAUAUGGCUUUCAGGCAGUCAUGGGACUAACUAGCCUGGGAACCAGUCUGUUUAGCUAAUCUCCACUCCUUUUACUCUGUGUCAUUGCCACUUGUUUAGUAAUGACAUGGAAAACAAGGAGUGAAAUGUGAGAUAAACAGGUUGGUACCCCGGCUUGGGACUAAACCCUCUCAGAACCAUGAUUUGGAAUAUCCCAUUGGUUCUCAAUGGACUAUCCCUGCAGUUGUUUUUCUCCAUGUGAGGCUUUGGUUGGAGAUUUACUCUGCAUGAGUUAGGGUUAUACACAUUCUCAAUGAGACACUGGUACCAGGAGCCUAAUCAAUUGGAAUGAUUGGCUAUCAUUUAAUGAAUAAUUGUGAUUGGCUAUCACUUAAUCAAGCGGAGUGAUUCGUUUCCAGCUAAUAGAUGACGACUGAUGAAUUUCAAUUCCUGGUACACAAACACUUAGGAUCAGAAAGGGGCUUGUGUGGAUCAGAAAGGGGCUUGUGUGGUUGACAACCCCCGAUCAUUACCAAAUGACGGAACAUUGAAAUGUAGAUAUAGUUUAGUUCAGUUUGAUCUUUUACUUGCUGUGUCUAACUGUGAUGCGUCUAACUGUGAUGCGUAUAACUCAACAAUAACUUACCCAUGAUGUCAUUCAGACUUAACAGGAUUUCUGCCCUAAAAGAUUGAUUUAAAUUAUUCAUCUUAAAAAUUACACUGAGGUUCAAUAACUAUUCCCACAUGAUUUUAAAAAACAAAAUAAAAUAAAAAACAUUUAAAAUGACAAACUCUGAAGAUCAAACUGCCAUGAAGAUGCAUAAGAAGAUCCAAAGGUUUUGAUGUAAGGUUACAUUCUGUAAUAGUUGAUCUGUUUCCUUCCAACUGAAGUUGUAUUUUUUAAAGGCUGUCAUGUUGAACAUCCAGAAGAGUGGCGAGGACCUAACAUCAGAAGCUCUUAGCAACUGAAGCUACAUACAUAAAUACAUACCAUAUGUUUGUGAAGAUGUGACCCACCAACCAAUGCUAUAAAGCUAUGCUUCAAUAACGUGCAUUCCCUUUGGGAUGUGUAUUGUCUAGGCAAUAGCCAGUUGUCAGAUCAUUUAGUUAUGGAUAUAUUCGUAUCAGCCUAGUGCAUUUACUUUAAAGUGGCAAUAUGUACAUUUUUGGGAUACCCCACCAAAUUCACAUAGAAAUGUGAGACAUCGAUCUACCAUUCUACUUGAAAGCAAGUCUAAGAAGCGGUAGAUCUGUUCUAUGUGGGCUAUUUCUAUGCUUCAUGUUCUUAAGUUUUGUUUUUGUGUAUUGUACUUUCGGUUUUGUACACCAGCUUCAAACAGCUGAAACAACAAUAUUUUUGAUUAUGGAAAAUAGAUUUCACAGCAGUUCAGAUGGUACAAUGAUUCUCUAUACUAUCUUAUUUUGUCACAUAAACUGAAAUUAGGUGAACUAUUAGAGUUAAAUUAGGCAAAAUAUUAGUUUUAGCAACCAGGAAAUGGAGGAGCGAUUUCUGCAUAGUGCAACUUUAAGGAUAACAAAGUGAUAUUACAGAAUGUACUAGCGAAAUGUUGAUUUGUGGUUGAUUGAACAUUAUGUUAGCAGCUUUUAUAUAAAUACGAUUUAAAAAACAACAAUUUACCUUAUCUGAUUCUAUAGUUUGUAAUUCAUCUUGAUAUAGGACGAAUGUAGUGAUUUAUCCUGUUAUACAGUAGGAUGCCCACUUAUUCAAGACCAGGGAAUAUAACCUUGAGGCUGAGUUGAUAAUCUUGCUGGGCACUGUAGUUCACCAUCAUCACCACCAUACACUAACUUAACCCCACACAAACUCAUAUCAACUACAGUUUACUAUGGUUUCACCUGAUCAGUUAGAUAUAACAUAUCAAUGUAGUGUAGUAUACUACACAACCGGUACAAAGUUUAAGAACACCUACUCAUUCAAGGGUUUUUCUUUAUUUGUACUAUUUUCUACAUUGUAGAAUAGUGAAGACAUCAUAACUAUGAAAUAACAUGUAGUAAACAAAAAAGUGUUAAACAAAUCAAAAUAUAUUUUAUAUUUGAGAUUCUUCAACUUCCACCCUUUGCCUUGAUAACAGUUUGGCAUUCUCUCAACCAGCUUCAUGAGGUAGAUAUCUGGAAUGCAUUUCAAUUAACAGGUGUGCCUUGUUAAAAAUUAAUUUGCGUUUGAGCCAAUCAGUUGUGUUGUGAUAAGGGGGGGUAUACAGAAGAGAGGCCUUUUUGGUAAAAGACCAAGUCCAUAUUAUGGCAGGAACAGCUCCAAUAAGCAAAGAGAAACGACAGUCCAUCAUUACUUUAAGACAUGAAGGUUAGUCAAUACAGAACAUUUCAAAAACUUUUAAAGUUUCUUCAAGUGCAGUCGCAAAAACCAAGUGCUAUGAUGAAACUGUCUCUCAUGAGGACCGCAAGACCCAGAGUGACCUCUGCUGCAGAGGAUAAGGUCAUUAGAGUUACCAGCCUCAGAAAUUGCAGACCAAAUAAAUGCUUCACAGAGUUCAAGUAACAGUCACAUCUCAACAUGAACUGUUCAGAGGAGACUGCGUGAAUCAGGCCUUCAUGGUCAAAUUGCUGCAAAGAAACCACUACUAAACACACCAAUAAGAGGAAGAGACUUGCUUGAGCUAAGAAACACAAGCAAUGGACAUUAGACUGGUGGAAAAUUGUUCUUUGGUCUAGAGCAGUGGUUCUUAACCUUGUUGGAAGUACUGAACCCCACCAGUUUCAUAUGCGCAUUCACCGAACCCUUCUUAAUUGGAAAAACAAAAUAUGAUUUUUUUCAAAUUCAAAACAUAGGUAUAUAUUUUACUGGUGCACAACAUGAACCGUUUAUCAACAUCACUGUGUUCAAAGAACAAAAUCAUCAAAACAUGAUUUUCACACAAAAACAAAAACAUAAUAAUGAAUAUUUACUGCAAAUCAGUGUGACUUCUGCUGUUGCCUUUCAGAGACCAGUUCAGAAAUGCGCGGCUUCACCUUGCCAAGUACCACUCAUGUCAUUUUCGCAACAAAGUCUGUUCCUUUUCUUCGUUUUUAUGUCCAGUAUCCUCAAAGGAUUGCUCGCAAAGAUAUGUUUUAACAAACGGUAUGAAAAUCUCCAGAGCUUUCUGAGCAAUAACAGGGUACGUUACCAUUUGUUGACAGCAAAACGUUGAAAGCGUUGUUGUUCUGAAGAGUUGCUAUUGAACCUGGCUCUGCUGAAUUUCAAUGAUUUCAUCGAGGUAUUCAUCAUUGACAUCUGUUGUCUCAACACUAAACGUGAAUGGCUGUCUCACCCAUGCUGGAUAUGACUCUGUUGUAGGGAUUCCAGAUACAUCUUCGAUCUUACUUACACAGUCGUCCAGCAGGGGAAAGUUUGCGAAGUUAUCGUUCUCUGUUCGUCGUUUCCAUAACGGUAGCUUUUUUUGAAAAGCCUUCAGGUUUUCCUCCGCUUCGAUGAUGUUGACUCCACCGCCUGAUGAUUGAGAGCUGCGAAGAUAUCAGCCAUGUACGCUAAAAUGAGAAUGAACUCAGAAUUUUUGAAGCAAUCUGCAUGACAAUGUUGGUGCUCUUGCAAAAACAGGGCUAAUUCCACAUGCACGGCAAAAACUCGAUUCAGCGCCUGUCCCCGGGAUAACCACCGAACGUUAGAAUGGUACCUCGAAGUACCUCAAAUUCAGAGACCAUUUCUUUACACAGCUCACUAAAGAUGCGGUGCCUCAGAGCACUAGUUCGCACAUACAGUGCCUUGCGAAAGUAUUCGGCCCCCUUGAACUUUGCGACC
ensembl:lncRNA